AACGUGGAAGUUCUGACCCAGGCCUUCUGUCACCGGUCCCAAGCCCACGUCGUUUCUGCGACAGCGUAACUGCCCAGUAAGUCAUCUGCUUACCAAUGUCCCCCGAGCCAAGGACAGCAAUGGAAAGCCGUGUGGUAUCACUCCAGAAGAGGAAAGUCGGUGGCCCUUUAAGCAGGAUGAAGUCAAUCCUGCAGGCCACAUGGUUUGCCACGUGGCACAUGCCUCCCCCUGUGACCUCAUUCAAUCCCUGCAGAGCCCCUGGCGGCCAUCGUCGUACGGUUGGCACCAGCAUGGACUCCAGAGCCCACCGCCUGGCCUAUGGCCCCAGCUCUGUCCUUGUUAGCGGUGGAAUCUGGGCAGCAACUUAACCUCUCCGGGCCUGUUUCUUCAACCAUAAAAUAAGAAUAGCACUGGUACUCCUGUGCAGGGCUGCUGCGAGAAUCAAGGUGCCUCGCUGGAAAUUAAUGUGAGGGGAGCUAGUGUGGUCCGUGAAGGCUCCUUCGAGCAUGUGACAUCUGAGCUGCCCUCUGAAGAUGACAAGGAUCCAGACGUGAUGGGGAGAAGGAGAUGCUGCAGGCAGAGGACAAAGGUGCUAGAUGGACCCAAAGUUAAGGACACAGUACUCCUUUCUGAAGGGCACAGCAACAAGGCGCCACCAUGGAAGCACGGUCCAGGCCCUCACCUGACAUGAAGCCUGCCAGGGUCUUGAUCUUGGACAUCCCAGCCUCCAGAGCCGGUUAGUGAUUUUGCCGACUUCCUGGAUGUUCAUUUCUGGUUCUGCACAAAAGAGUCGCGUUUCCUUUUGGAAUCGGGACCAGGAGACAGAAGCGGACUCGGGAACUGUGAGUGCCCCCGCUCUUCCCCGGCGCCUCUGACCCCUUCCUCCAUCUCGCCGCCUUCCCUGCCUUCAGCGCGGAGUUCCCUUUCUCCAGGGCUUCUUGUCUGAACUCACCCCCUCGGCUCUCAGCACCAUUCUCCACUUUUAGGAAAAGAGACUCUACAAUUUCUACGCAAACAUCGGAUAAGAAGGGGAGGGGGAGUGACUUUGAUUUUCAUUUUAAGACUCUGAAAGACGGAGAAAGUAAGCAGAAGCGGGCUGGUUUAUUUUAGGGGCUCCCAGUGAGUCCCUACUAAAUUUACCUAAUAAAAUGAAUUUUUAAAAAUUUCAUUUUCUCAUUCGUUCCAGCAGAAAAUUAGUUUGCCUUUAUAAUGUCCAGAUCUUUCAAACUCUAUUGAGUGAGAAAUUAAUUUACGAAAUUUAAAUACUUUGGUACACACAUGCACACACACCCGAAAUGAAGUAAAAUGUGCCUGUAACACAAUAGCAAGCCUGGUUUUAGGGUCCUAGGACACAUUUUUUUUAAUGAUGUGUAAUAGAGAAAAAUCAGAUUCAGUUAAAAAAAAGUUUCUCUCUUAAAAUGGGUGAAUUGUAAUACUCAGUAAAUUUAAUUGUAAUUUUUAUUUGUUAAUAUAAGUUGCCUUUUUAAGAUCUUCUACACAUCUUGUCAAAUUACUGAGAGGACUGCAAAGAAAACAUAUGUUAAUGUGCUAGGCCACAGUUGAUUCCUUUCCUUUCCAUGAAACUAUUCCAAGUAGUGUAGGAAAUUAUAAAACAAUAGAGUUCUCUGUGAAAAGAAUACCCUGCCUUUCACUUCCAAGAUGAAGCAAUUAAUACUGGAAUUUCGAGGUAAAUCCAAUGAUCAGUUAGGAGGGAAAAGGAGGAGGAAGGCAGGAUGGUUAUUUGCUUAAGAAAGUCCAGAAAUCGACAUCGGACAGAUGUAUCGUGGAAUGUGAUGAUAUUUAUAAGGAAAAAUUACAUAAACUUCAAAAACGAAAGUUGUUUUGCUUAAGCGACUGAAAAAAAGAAUUUAGAAUAAUAUUUGGGUUAUCCUAGUUUUGUACGCUUGUGUUCACACCAAAGCUUUCAGGGUCCAGGAGGAUUAAAGAGCUCCAUCCCAAGGAGUGUUUUUUUUAAUGUGUGUGCGUG